AUUGAACGCUGGCGGCAGGCCUAACACAUGCAAGUCGAACGAGUGGCGGACGGGUGAGUAAUGUCUGGGAAACUGCCUUAUGGAGGGGGAUAACUACUGGAAACGGUAGCUAAUACCGCAUACCAUCGGAUGUGCCCAGCUGGGAUUAGCUAGUAGGUGGGGUAAAGGCUCACCUAGGCCACGAUCACUAGCUGGUCUGAGAGGAUGACCAGCCACACGGGAACUGAGACACAGUCCAGACUCCUAGGGUAGGCAGCAGUGGGGAAUAUUGCACAAUGGGGGCAAGCCUGAUGCAGCCAUGCCGCGUGUAUGAAGAAGGCCUUCGGGUUGUAAAGUACGUUCAGCGGGGAGGCGUUACCCGCAGAAGAAGCACCGGCUAACUCCGUGCCAGCAGCCGCGGUAAUAC
rnacentral:rRNA from 1 species